UGAUGGGCGGGCACACCCUGUGUUGCAGUCCAGCCUCCUGAAACGGGGGCCGCCUCCCAGCAGUGGAUGUGCCUCCUCCUCUGUUUGUUGAUCAGCAGGAGCACCAUGAAGUGACCCAUAUCUUGGACUCACGUUUGUGUCGCAGCCGCCUGCAGAAUUUGGUGGCUUGGAAGCAUUUCUCUGUGGUGUCAUGCCAUGUGUCCUGCCCGGGAGUACAGUGAAGCUGUGAGUGUCCUGAACAGGUAAGCAUAAAGAAACUCAGCCCAGGGAAGAUUGAACUGCUCUUUGGCCAAAGUGGUUGCACUCUACCUUAACAAGUACCUGGAGUAUCUCACCAGAAACAUGGAAAGCCUUCCCCUUUGUGGCUAAAGAACACCAUGGCUGCAAACUGAAACCGGAGAUAAACUGCUGAGGCCAAGAGGCUUUAAAUGUGCUUUAUUUUGUUGAAGACUGAAAGCAGAACGUGCAAAAAGCAGCAUCUGGUAGAACAGAUGCACCCAUGAAAACAGUAAUAGAGAAAUAAAAGGUUUAUUGAAAUCCGA